GAUGAACGCUGGCGGCGUGCCUAAUACAUGCAAGUCGAGCGAACAGACGAGGCGCUUGCUCCUCUGACGUUAGCGGCGGACGGGUGAGUAACACGUGGCUAACCUACCUAUAAGACUGGGAUCACUUCGGGAAACCGGAGCUAAUACCGGAUAACAUGUUGAACCGCAUGGUUCAUCAGUGAAAGACGGUUUUGCUGUCACUUAUAGAUGGAUCCGCGUCGCAUUAGCUAGUUGGUACGGUAACGGCUUACCAGGGCAACGAUGCGUAGCCGACCUGAGAGGGUGAUCAGCCACACUGGAACUGAGACACGGUCCAGACUCCUACGGGAGGCAGCAGUAGGGAAUCUUGCGCAAUGGGCGAAAGCCUGACGGAGCAACGCCGCGUGAGUGAAGAAGGUCUUCGGAUCGUAAAGCUCUGUUAGUAGGGAAGAACAAAUGUGUAAGUAACUAUGCACGUCUUGACGGUACCUAAUCAGAAAGCCACGGCUAACUACGUG
rnacentral:rRNA from 1 species